GGUUAAGCGACUAAGCGUACACGGUGGAUGCCCUGGCAGUCAGAGGCGAUGAAGGACGUGCUAAUCUGCGAUAAGCGUCGGUAAGGUGAUAUGAACCGUUAUAACCGGCGAUUUCCGAAUGGGGAAACCCAGUGUGUUUCGACACACUAUCAUUAACUGAAUCCAUAGGUUAAUGAGGCGAACCGGGGGAACUGAAACAUCUAAGUACCCCGAGGAAAAGAAAUCAACCGAGAUUCCCCCAGUAGCGGCGAGCGAACGGGGAGCAGCCCAGAGCCUGAAUCAGUGUGUGUGUUAGUGGAAGCGUCUGGAAAGGCGCGCGAUACAGGGUGACAGCCCCGUACACAAAAAUGCACAUGCUGUGAGCUCGAUGAGUAGGGCGGGACACGUGGUAUCCUGUCUGAAUAUGGGGGGACCAUCCUCCAAGGCUAAAUACUCCUGACUGACCGAUAGUGAACCAGUACCGUGAGGGAAAGGCGAAAAGAACCCCGGCGAGGGGAGUGAAAAAGAACCUGAAACCGUGUACGUACAAGCAGUGGGAGCACGCUUCGGCGUGUGACUGCGUACCUUUUGUAUAAUGGGUCAGCGACUUAUAUUCUGUAGCAAGGUUAACCGAAUAGGGGAGCCGAAGGGAAACCGAGUCUUAACUGGGCGUUAAGUUGCAGGGUAUAGACCCGAAACCCGGUGAUCUAGCCAUGGGCAGGUUGAAGGUUGGGUAACACUAACUGGAGGACCGAACCGACUAAUGUUGAAAAAUUAGCGGAUGACUUGUGGCUGGGGGUGAAAGGCCAAUCAAACCGGGAGAUAGCUGGUUCUCCCCGAAAGCUAUUUAGGUAGCGCCUCGUGAAUUCAUCUCCGGGGGUAGAGCACUGUUUCGGCAAGGGGGUCAUCCCGACUUACCAACCCGAUGCAAACUGCGAAUACCGGAGAAUGUUAUCACGGGAGACACACGGCGGGUGCUAACGUCCGUCGUGAAGAGGGAAACAACCCAGACCGCCAGCUAAGGUCCCAAAGUCAUGGUUAAGUGGGAAACGAUGUGGGAAGGCCCAGACAGCCAGGAUGUUGGCUUAGAAGCAGCCAUCAUUUAAAGAAAGCGUAAUAGCUCACUGGUCGAGUCGGCCUGCGCGGAAGAUGUAACGGGGCUAAACCAUGCACCGAAGCUGCGGCAGCGACACUAUGUGUUGUUGGGUAGGGGAGCGUUCUGUAAGCCUGUGAAGGUGUACUGUGAGGUAUGCUGGAGGUAUCAGAAGUGCGAAUGCUGACAUAAGUAACGAUAAAGCGGGUGAAAAGCCCGCUCGCCGGAAGACCAAGGGUUCCUGUCCAACGUUAAUCGGGGCAGGGUGAGUCGACCCCUAAGGCGAGGCCGAAAGGCGUAGUCGAUGGGAAACAGGUUAAUAUUCCUGUACUUGGUGUUACUGCGAAGGGGGGACGGAGAAGGCUAUGUUGGCCGGGCGACGGUUGUCCCGGUUUAAGCGUGUAGGCUGGUUUUCCAGGCAAAUCCGGAAAAUCAAGGCUGAGGCGUGAUGACGAGGCACUACGGUGCUGAAGCAACAAAUGCCCUGCUUCCAGGAAAAGCCUCUAAGCAUCAGGUAACAUCAAAUCGUACCCCAAACCGACACAGGUGGUCAGGUAGAGAAUACCAAGGCGCUUGAGAGAACUCGGGUGAAGGAACUAGGCAAAAUGGUGCCGUAACUUCGGGAGAAGGCACGCUGAUAUGUAGGUGAGGUCCCUCGCGGAUGGAGCUGAAAUCAGUCGAAGAUACCAGCUGGCUGCAACUGUUUAUUAAAAACACAGCACUGUGCAAACACGAAAGUGGACGUAUACGGUGUGACGCCUGCCCGGUGCCGGAAGGUUAAUUGAUGGGGUUAGCGGUAACGCGAAGCUCUUGAUCGAAGCCCCGGUAAACGGCGGCCGUAACUAUAACGGUCCUAAGGUAGCGAAAUUCCUUGUCGGGUAAGUUCCGACCUGCACGAAUGGCGUAAUGAUGGCCAGGCUGUCUCCACCCGAGACUCAGUGAAAUUGAACUCGCUGUGAAGAUGCAGUGUACCCGCGGCAAGACGGAAAGACCCCGUGAACCUUUACUAUAGCUUGACACUGAACAUUGAGCCUUGAUGUGUAGGAUAGGUGGGAGGCUUUGAAGUGUGGACGCCAGUCUGCAUGGAGCCGACCUUGAAAUACCACCCUUUAAUGUUUGAUGUUCUAACGUUGACCCGUAAUCCGGGUUGCGGACAGUGUCUGGUGGGUAGUUUGACUGGGGCGGUCUCCUCCUAAAGAGUAACGGAGGAGCACGAAGGUUGGCUAAUCCUGGUCGGACAUCAGGAGGUUAGUGCAAUGGCAUAAGCCAGCUUGACUGCGAGCGUGACGGCGCGAGCAGGUGCGAAAGCAGGUCAUAGUGAUCCGGUGGUUCUGAAUGGAAGGGCCAUCGCUCAACGGAUAAAAGGUACUCCGGGGAUAACAGGCUGAUACCGCCCAAGAGUUCAUAUCGACGGCGGUGUUUGGCACCUCGAUGUCGGCUCAUCACAUCCUGGGGCUGAAGUAGGUCCCAAGGGUAUGGCUGUUCGCCAUUUAAAGUGGUACGCGAGCUGGGUUUAGAACGUCGUGAGACAGUUCGGUCCCUAUCUGCCGUGGGCGCUGGAGAACUGAGGGGGGCUGCUCCUAGUACGAGAGGACCGGAGUGGACGCAUCACUGGUGUUCGGGUUGUCAUGCCAAUGGCACUGCCCGGUAGCUAAAUGCGGAAGAGAUAAGUGCUGAAAGCAUCUAAGCACGAAACUUGCCCCGAGAUGAGUUCUCCCUGACUCCUUGAGAGUCCUGAAGGAACGUUGAAGACGACGACGUUGAUAGGCCGGGUGUGUAAGCGCAGCGAUGCGUUGAGCUAACCGGUACUAAUGAACCGUGAGGCUUAACCUU
rnacentral:rRNA from 1 species